CUAAUCCGAAACCGGGAUUUUUUGAAAAUGUUGGAAUAAGCGAGACAACGGUGUCUUAGCAAUUUUGAAGCUAGCUAAAGUUUGGCAGAGCACGAGUUAAGACUUUGGUGGGCUUUUUCAAGAUAAAAUUGUUGAAAUCAAAGAUGUUUAUGGCUAGCUAGCUAAUCUUGGCUUUAUCACAAGAUUGGGUGCUAUUUUAUACAAUUUAUAAAGAAACACAACAUGAUUGCUUUGUACAUAUUUAAUGUAUAUAAUAAACUAUUUAUGCACAACUUGAGUUAUUUUCUACUAGCAUGAUAAACUAGAAUGUUGAAACUGUCGACUCUGAAUGACGUUUUAUUUAAUGUAUGAUGUCACAUAUUUGGCCUGAAAACCCUUAGGACCAAAAGUGACCCUUUGGACAAUUUCGGACAGAUAAAUAUUACAUCUACAUCAUCUUUAAUGGCCUCAGAAUCCAAAGUAAUGUUUUUUAUUCAGUUAAUAAACGAAUUUUAAGCAUACAUU